rnacentral:rRNA from 1 species
AACGUAGGUGGCGAGCGUUAUCCGGAUUUACUGGGCGUAAAGCGUGUGCAGGCGGGGUAUCAAGUGGUGUAUGAAAUCGCUCGGCUUAACCGGGCGCGGUUAUGCCAGACUGAUACUCUGGAGUGCGGGAGAGGGGCGUGGAAUUCCGGGUGUAGUGGUGAAAUGCGUAGAGAUCCGGAGGAACCCCAGAGGCGAAGGCGGCGCCCUGGCUCGCAACUGACGCUCAGACACGACAGCAUGGGGAGCGAACGGG